AUACGGAGGGUGCGAGCGUUAUCCGGAUUUAUUAGGUUUAAAGGGUGUGUAGGCGGGAGCCUAAGUCAGUGGUGAAAUCUCACAGCUUAACUGUGAAACUGCCAUUGAAACUGGGUUUCUUGAGUAUAGUUGAGGUAGGCGGAAUGUGUAAUGUAGCGGUGAAAUGCAUAGAUAUUACACAGAACAUCGAUUGCGAAGGCAGCUUACUAAGCUAUUACUGACGCUGAUGCACGAAAGCGUGGGUAGCGAACAGGAUUAGAAACCCGGGUAGUCC
rnacentral:rRNA from 1 species